GUGGGAAGUUGCGUUUGACUAUGAGGUUCUGAAACCAGGCCACGCUUCACCAGAUGGCCGGGGACGUUGCACAGGAGAGGAGAAGCUGGAGGACCUGCCAGCCUUUGUGUUUGAUAUGAGCAUGACCAGCCACAGCUACAGCAUCUACAAUGCAGUCUCUUCUGUGGCACAGGCGUUGCAUGACCUGUACACAUCUGCAUCGAAACACAAAAACACAGAAGAUGGAAAGGGGGCAUUUCUUCUGAACCUGCAACCAUGGCAGGAACCAUUCUAUUCCCGCUUGCUCCUGAUUUUCUCCCAGCAGAGUUUCAGAAAUCCAAGUCAACAGACCACCAAGUUAGUGUGAACAUCGCUUGUUGGAUUGUCUUGGUCCUGCCCCUCACAAGAUGUUUUCUAAACUGUAUUGUUUACAUCUGCAAACGUUGGGGUUCUCCUGGGCCUGAUGGUGCCUCUGCCAUUAUGUGCCACUUGGAGAACAGAGGAUGCUAUUAGUUCAUGGAUGGAGCUAGAGCAGCGGUUCUCAACCUGUGGGUCCCCAGAUGUUGUUGGACUACAACUCCCAUCAUCCCUGACCACUGGUCAUGCUGGCUCAGAAUGAUGGGAGUUGUAGUUCAACAACAUCUGGGGACCCACAGGUUGAGAAACACUGAGCUAGAGAGAGAUUGUGCAUUUCUGUAUCACCAAGACUGGGUUUUAGCUGCUAGAUCUCUAAACUUUGUUUUCUACAUCUGCAAACAUUGGGGUUCUCCAGGGCCUGAUGCCGUUAUGUGUCAUGUGGAGAAUGGAGGAUGCUAUUAGUUCAUGGAUGGAGCUAGAAAUGAUUAUGUCCUUUCCUUUACUCCAUCUCUGAGAUGCAGGGGGAAAUGGAACUCCCAUUAGCUGGAAUGUUUCGAUCCAAUCCAUGGCCCCUUGCCAACCCACCCCUACCAACAAUGUUUCAUUCCAGAUCCAUUAUUCUUUGAGGAACAUCCGCUUCAACAACAGCACUGGGGAUGAAAUCUCCUUUGGGGAACAUGGGAUGGAGUCUGCCGGGUUCGAUAUCAUCAACUGGGCCAUCUUCUCGAACAAAUCUAUGGCGUGGAGGAACGUGGGGUGGAUGGACCCUGGGGCUGCUGCAGGAGCAGAUUUUGAGAUGGACCCAGAUGUCAUUGUAUGGGCUAACCAGGUGGGGACCAAACUGGGUGGAAACAGAGCGGUAGCCACUGGAGCUGCUGUAGCAAGGAAGUCCUCUGCUCACUAUAACUAACCGCCGUCCAUUAACCCAACUAGGCUUUGGGAAGGAGGAGGGAGAACUCCAGAACCCUGUCCAAGCCCCCACACCUCUUUUCUGAAGCCAGCAUUUACAGGCUUUGAGAAGGAGGUGGGAAAGCGACCUGUCAGCUCAGAACCCGGUGUGGGGGAACUGGUCGCACUGGCCUAACUGUGCUGGGCCCAGGGGUAACCCGAGUAAGAGGUCCAGGUCCAGUCCUGUUAUGUAAUGAGUUGAAUAGGAUUCAAACUGCAGCAGUCUGAUUGGUCCUAGAACAAUGCAGCAGUAUGAUUGGUUGGUAGGAGCCACCCAAUCCAGCUCCAGAUAGAAGUGAAUCCACAACCUGAUUGGCCUACAGGAGAAUUCCGGAAUUAGCCAAUCACGUGCAGCCCAUUGUGUAAAUAAUGUAUAUAAAGCAGAUACUUUGAGGGGACAUUCAUUCCCUCCUCACCACUAUGAGCUGAAUAAAGAGCAUGAAAUCCACUAUCGACUCUGAGUAUAUUUCACUGGCAACGAAGGUGGGAUCCCGCUGAGCUGACCGCCACACACAGCACCGCAGCACCGCCACGUGCCGCACCGCUGCCUCGCACCGUGUAUCCAGGCUUCAGCUCCGGGACACAAGGAACUCAGAAUGGCAACCGACAGCAGCUUCUCGCCAUUCAACCCAGCAUCCGGAGACUGGGAAGCGUAUGCCUCCCGUUUCACCUUCCUCCUAAAAGCCAAAGGGG